rnacentral:rRNA from 1 species
UACAGAGGAUGCAAGCGUUAUCCGGAAUGAUUGGGCGUAAAGCGUCCGCAGGCGGUUUUGUAAGUCUGCUGUUAAAGCGUUAGGCUCAACCUAAUAAGGGCAGUGGAAACUAUGAGACUAGAGUAUGUUAGGGGUAGAGGGAAUUCCCAGUGUAGCGGUGAAAUGCGUAGAGAUUGGGAAGAACACCGGUGGCGAAAGCGCUCUGCUAGGACAAUACUGACACUGAGGGACGAAAGCUAGGGGAGCGAAUGGG